UGGACUCAGGCAAAACGAGUCACGGCGAACAGCUCAGUAACACGUGGCUAAUCUGCCCUUAGGACGAGAAUAACCCCGGGAAACUGGGGCUAACUCUCGAUAGGUGAAGAACUCUGGAAUGAGUCUUCACUCAAAAAGCUUCACGUUAUCCUCGUGAAGUCGCCUAAGGAUGAGGCCGCGGCCGAUCAGGUUGUUGGCGAGGUAACGGCUCACCAAGCCUUUUACCGGUGCGGGCCGUGAGAGCGGGAGCCCGGAGAUGGGUACUGAGACAAGGACCCAGGCCCUACGGGGCGCAGCAGUCGCGAAACCUUUGCAAUACACGAAAGUGUGACAGGGCUAUCCCGAGUGCCAUCCGCUGAGGAAGGCUUUUACCCAGUCUAGAUAGCUGGGGGAAUAAGGAGAGGGCAAGUCUGGUGUCAGCCGCCGCGGUAAUACCAGCUCUCCGAGUGGUGUGGAUGUUUAUUGGGCCUAAAGCAUCCGUAGCUGGCUAGGUCAGUCCCUUGUCAAAUCCACCGAAUUAAUCGUUGGAUCGCGGGGGAUACUGCUUGGCUAGGGGACGAGAGAGGCAGACGGUAUUUUCGGGGUAGGGGUGAAAUCCUAUAAUCCCGGGAAGACCACCAGUGGCGAAGGCUGUCUGCCAGAACGCGCCCGACGGUGAGGGAUGAAAGCUGGGGGAGCGAACCGGAUUAGAUACCCGGGUAGUCCCAGCUGUAAACGAUGCAGACUAGGUGUUUGGACGGCCAC
rnacentral:rRNA from 1 species